UUGUUCACACGUCAUUCAAAAUAUGAUAUUACAAUAUCAAUAUUUACAAUGCAGCAUUCUACAGUUGGAAGUGAAGUGAAUUAUUUGUUCAACAAUGGCAAAUACAAAUUUCUUUUAUUUUGUGAUUGCACUGAUGAUCAUUACAGCUCUCGUCUUCGUGCAAGUCAAUGCGGAACCUAGAGGACCUCAUUCAAACGGCCUUCUCGAUGAAGCUAACGGAUACAAUUUUGAUGGAGAAUUGGAUUCAGAUUAGAAUAUAUUCUCAUGAUCCAGAAGGCGUAUAAAAGUCAAAGACAUUUUUUCUUUAUGUAAUGCCAUUUUCAUGUUAUUAUGGCUUUCUUCAUAUAUAUCAUCCUGCAUAUUCACACGUAUUCUACAAAUGUUAGCGGUAUGUUAUUGUUUGUGUAAUAUCGAUUGUUAUCACACGUCAUUCAAAAAAUGUUAGUUUUCUUGUCAUGUAACAAAAAAUAUGUAUGCCAACGGAAAACGCUAUUUUUAAUACUAAUUUUAUGGUAUUUGGUAGAAUACGACCACGUGUGACAAUCCAGCUUUUUCCGACAAGGAAUACAACGCAAAUUCAGGAAACAAAUUUAUUUGAGCGUGACAGCUAUUCAGAAGUAUAUACAAGAUAAGAAGUGUAUUUGAUGUACUUAUUUGUUUCACCUUAUUAUAAAUAGAAAAUAAAAAUAUCAAUGCGAGAACAUAUAAAUGAGGUGCGAUGGGCACAUUUGCCAUCAUCUGAAAUAUCAUGAACUAUGGCAGCGGUUCCCAAACUUUUGCGGCGCCAAAUCACCAUGGCUCACUUACACGAGAAUAAAAUGCUGCUUAAAAAUAAAAAAUAAACUGGAUUG